GCCGCGGGUGGGGCGGUGUGAGGGAACAGGGCAGUGCGUGUCGGGUGCGGCUGUCCGUACACAUCUCAUUCCUUGAAUACAGAGUAUGGUUUGGUUAUUAGCACUGCAGUGGCACCUUGGUGAAAUCAAGUUCAACCAGCUCUCCAUAUUUUUUCCAGUCAAUAAAUGAUUUUUAAAAGGUCAUCAUGACAUAAUUGAAAAGCUGAAGGCUCAGGCUGGUGUGAAGACUGGGAGGCCAUGGAAAAUUUAGGAAAAACAUAGUUGUGACAGAUGACCCAAACUGACCAAAGGCAUAUUCCACACCGUACAACAUCCUUCCCUCUAUGUGAAGUGGAGGGAAGAAGAAGGAACAGAAAGACAUUUGGAUUGAUGGCACAUGUCUUCCCAAUUCACCAUUGUGCAUGAUGGACCCCUGCUGUCCUGGAGAUUGCUGAACACCUGCCUGCCUGUGGGAAGCACUGAACUAGUUUCUCCUUUUGUUUUGUUUCCAUGCAUGGCUUUUGCUUACCCUAUUAAACUGUCUUUAUCUCAGCCUGUGAGGUUUCUGGCUUUUACACUUCUGAUUCUCUCCCCAGUCCUGCUGGUGGGGGAAUGAGCGAGUAGCUGUGUAGGGUUUGGCUGCUGGCUGGGGUUAAACCAAGACACCUUAGAAGAAGAAAAGACCUGUCAUGCUGCUCCACAGAGGACGUCAUGAGAUGUCAUCAGAGACACAGAGGGCAUGUGUGCCUUAUCUUCCUUGCACAGACACACGUUUAUGGUGAGUGAGAACUGGAGAGGCCACCUCACAGACUGACACUCAUUAACAAUUCCUUUGUGCUCAUAUUUCAGUUUCCACUCCCUUAAAUUAUAAAUAAAUAUAAAUCUAGCACAAGAGAA